rnacentral:lncRNA from 7 species
UUGUAACUGUAGUGCUCUGUUUCAUGGCCCUCCUCCUGACCCGCCGUGCUCCUGCUCUUGACAAGCUGGAUGUCUGGAUGAGCUCAGAAAAACAAACAGACAACCACCCUUAUCUCUGCAUCUGCAUGAAGCUGUCUGGGAGAAAGAGUGCCUUGUGUUCAGAGAGCAAGGAAGGCGACCAGAGGGAGGAGAUGCAGCCUGGAGCUGGAUAGAAACAACGGGAAUAUUACCUGCGUUGUGGAAUUUAACAAGUACCAGUGACAGCAAAAUGGGUUCAAAUCCAAGGAGCUCAGCAAUGUAUCUCCAGUUCACAACCCUGCAAAAUGCAGGUCUGGGCCUCUGGUUGGAAGCUCCAUUCUGCAGAACAGAGCAUCUCUUUGUAAGUGUGCAGGCCCUGAUAAAGAUCCAACAAUGAUGCAUUAUUGAUCUCUGUAGUUGUGUUCACAAAAUGCAAAACUGCUUUCCCUCUGACAUUGCUUCUAGAUACUGCACUUUAGUAAUGGAGGAGUAGAUUUCCAAAGGCACAGAGAGAAGUUAGGCUUCCCACUCCCUCUGUGAUGUGGCAAGAAUGUACUCUGUAUUCACCCAUCUCUCAUCAAAUUUUGGCACUUACUGGGGUAACGCAGUGGUUCAGAAGUUGUGCUUAAAGUAUAAUGAAGAAGGGCUGAAUUUUAAUUGAAUUUUUACUCUAAUCCACAACUGGGGAAUAGUGGCAUAAUUAGCCUAGCUUGACACACAGCAGUUUCUAUAUGUGCGCCUGAAUGAGUCACAGGCAUGGGGAAUAACAUCUACUAAUUCCCAACAGAGGAAGAUAC